AGUACUAAAAGUGUGAUUUGCACGCUAUUCCGAUAAAAUAGAGGAAGUUUUAUGACUUGGUGCUA
rnacentral:tRNA from 1 species